GUGAGCAUGCAGCGGUGUGGCGGGUCAUCCAAUACUGUAUUGUGAGGUUGUAUCAUGGAGUCUAUUGAAUACAUCAUGAGCUCUGUAGUGAAACCAAGUGAUUUGACAAAAAAAUCAACAUAGGACGAGUUGGAAAUGAGAACUGGGUUUAUUGAUUGAGUGAAAAUCUGGAUGGGGGUUUAAAUUGAAGCAAGUCUAGAAUUACUUCAUUAAAGAAGCACUAAUAGUGGUUAGAGUUUAAGUUCAACACUGGUCAUAGUAGGCUUGAAUGACAUUAAAUGACAUUAAUGGCUCCACAACACUAAAUGUCAGCAUGGAGGCCUGUAUGCAGUUCUUUACAACUUUACUGUUAAACUUGGUCACUAUCAGCUCUAUUAAGAUUCUUGGUCUGUUUGUCUUCUAUAGGCUCCUCUGCCAUCCAUCCCUCAACGUAAUGGGGCUCAAUCGGGAUACUUGAGACAAAGGCAUGUCAAAACAUACACAAAGGAAGUUAUAUGUUUACCUUUUUCACCGGGGGCGUCGGUCUUCGUUAUACCCAGAGGAGAAACUCGGACCAGGUUAGCUACGGCUGGCCUUGUUGGAAAAAUGUAAUUUUCCACAGAAUGGUCUGAAGACCAAGUGAGAGCUGAAAUAACCGCUAUCUUCAGUGGAGCAUUUGGGUUAUCAGAGCACCAGUCGCUUCCAUUUCAGUUUUUGAGCAUCAUCAAGGGGUGUAAAAAACUGAUGAUACCAAAGGUCACCUCCAAUUUCCCCUGGGGUGGUACAGAAGUUGCCUCCGUGUGUUCCAGCACUUGUUUGUAUAUCAUGGCAGAAAUGGAAGUUCCUGCACAGAGCUGGUAUGUGGAGCUGUCUGAUGACAGUGAUUUUGAAAACCCGGUUGUACAACGAAGAAGAGUGAGUCAGAGAGAUGCCCCGUCCAGACAGAGCCCAGAGGGAACACUGUGAGAGGCAAGAGAGGGUGGAAGCCAGUGCUCCAUCUGAUGAUGGGAUGGAACUACAGGGACAGCGAGGGCCAAAUGAAGCUAUGAAUCACUUUGCAGAUUUCAUUCCUAUUGAUGUUGAAGAAGAUGAAGCCAUUGAGGAGGCCAUCAGAUGCAGUCUUUUAGAAGAGUCUGUGCAGUCCUUACAGGAUUCAAGAAGGGUUGCAGAAAGUUUGAGCAAAGAAGAAAUUACAGGUAUAGUGAAAGCUCACAGUGAGCGGGUUGUCACAGAAGCAUACAGACCGAUCUACAUCAGCCGAGGGAACGUGUGGACAACUGCUCUCCGACAGUUUAGUAGACGGAAAUUCACUGAGAGCACCGAUCAGCUGUAUGUCACCUUUGCCAGUGACGAAGGCACCAACGAAGAUGGAGAAGACCUUGGAGGGCCGAGGCGAGAAUUAUUCCGUCUGCUUGGAGAUACCAAAUCGAAGGUCUUCCAAACCCAGUCAGCAUGGACAACAAAGAUGCAUUUGUGCAGAAUGCAAUACUUUUCCAUGUCCUCAUUCAAUGACAGAGCUGCUAUGAUCAGUUAGUUGAGGGUUUGAAGUACUACGAGGUAAGGUUAGACUUAAAUAUAACUGUAAUUGCAUUCUAGUGUACAACAGAUAGUGAAUUGCUUGUGCAUGGUUUUUAUAGCACACUGGAACACUAUUCAGUCCCAUUCAAAAUAAACAAUUUGAAUUAUCUACAGAUUGCACGGGUGUUCAGACACCGAUUACAUUACUUCCCCACCACCCCCAAUCGCUUUGCCUUUUUUUUUUUUUUUAUAUAGAAAUAAAACCCAUUCACAGUUGAUUUCAGCAUCAAUGUUCAUCUCAUAAAAAACAUGCUUACUGUAAAACACUAAGCAUGUUAUCAAUACGUAUUUGGAUGAUGGAUCAUACAACUAUAAACUGAAAAUGUCCAGAGUGGGGUAGUGAGACAUCUGUCCUCCCCCUGCUAUCUGCUUCAAACACAUGUAGCUGUUAGCGACAAGCUGCUCUCAUGUCUCCCUGGGUCACUAAAAGCUCAUGCAUUUAAGGGUUAAGCUUCUAAUUGGGCUUUUGUUGUUUUCACAGGUUCUGCCACUCCUGAAAGAAAGGCCUUGCCUUAGGGUCCUUCUCGAUAUGCCCAAAGAACCCAGUGAUGUCACAGCAGAUGUUGUGGCUACCCUCCUGAAACCCAACUACUCUGUUCUGGGAAGUAACAGAAGACCAAAAGAGGAGUUAUUGGUGGAUAAGUUCAGAGUUUCUUGACUGUGUGCAAGAGAAGGAGCUUGGGGAACAUCUUAACACCAGAAAGCUCACUGAGGCAGAAAAGGCGUUUAUCCUGACAUUGAAUCCUGGACACAUCCUAGCCUUUGCAACGGGAAGCAGCAAAGUUCCUGCAAUUGGAUUUUUUCCCAGUCCAAAACUGACUUUUGUUCAUGAUGACACAAAGCACACACAUGCUCAAAUGAGCUUCAGAUCUUUGUUAACAGAAAGAAUCUGGCAGAUGACAAUGAAUUUGAUUACAAUUUUCUGGUAGCUCUCAUGAAUGGAUCAAUUUUUAGUGCAGUGUAGUCUACAAAAAACAAUGCUUGGAUUGUACAUUUUAUUUGGAGCCCAGAGCUUUUCGUGGAUGGACAUCAGGUUUACAAGCUGAGCAUCUGGUGUAGCAUGACUUGUUAAAACUGUUAAAACGUUGUUUCGCCUAAAGUCUGAUCUGAACUACAGUUAGUCAGCAUGCUAUAAUCUCCUGUAAAAACAUUAUCAAUGUCUUCUCAGUAGUGUAAAAUGACACAGUAAUUCCUUUAUCAACUUUCUAUUUCUUUAAAUGCAUUUACAAGAAAAAAAUGAUUUUAUAUAUAUUCCUUCAGAGGAAUUUUCACCAUUCACCUUGCUGAUGGCUGAACUGAAGAGGUUCAUAACAGUUUCAGCCCAAUUGUGCCAUGUACAACUAGUUUCCAUCUUAUCAGUUUAUGAUUUUUGUCGAUGUGCCAUAUAUAGUUUGGACAAGGCACAGUGUAUACUCGUGUUUGUAUUAUACAUUUUUUGCUUGAGGUUGCACUCUUGUCAGAUUUCAUCAACAUGUCUAGUUGUCUGUAUUGUGCAUUUUUGCAGUAUUGCUGUAAAGGUGUAACCAGGUGUGUUCUUGUCUGAUUAAUAUUCAUGGUUCAUUUUAGCUGUAUCAGACACAGACUAUUGUUUUCAUUCCACUUAAUUAUUUAAAUGCAGUAUUUCAAUUAAGUGGCCAGUUCCUAUAAAUAAACCAUUCCAGAAACUCUGAAUAAGCUGUGUACGACUUCAGUAAUGAACAUCCUGCAUUGUCAUUUUGUUUUGGUGAACAGAUACCUUGACAAUGUGAAGUGAGAGUAUUUGCAGACCAUCAGUAUAGCGUAAUUUGUUAAUGGUGGCUAGCUGCAUACCUCAUGACUUUACUAUUUACCUUUUAGCUUGUUUCAGCAGUAAUA